rnacentral:sRNA from 1 species
UCAGUGGCAAGACUGUAAGUGUUGGACAAAGAGGAUGAUCUUCCCUGACAGAGGAGGAUUGUUCUUCGGUCAAGGGUAUACAAGUAGCUGCGCUCCCCUGAUAGAACCUCCAAACAAGCUCUCAAAAGCAACUACAAACAAUGGUUCACUUUUUGGGGGAUGGGUGGGAAUU